UCUACUGUGGCAGAUAAGUGCAAUGGAUUUAAGCUCCAUAUAUAAAGGUUACCCCUUUCAUUAGAA
rnacentral:tRNA from 1 species